rnacentral:lncRNA from 1 species
UAUUAGAAGAAAGACCUAAGUCUGCAUUUUGCAGGUUACCCCAUUCCCUCACCCAACCUGUUUCAGUUAGCAUUAGUGAGAAAAGCUGUUAAUAGGCAUACCCUAUAAAGCUUUUAAAAUUCAAGGAUAACAAAAUCUUGCUGGAUUCUAGAUAGAAAAAAAUAAGUUGUGAAGGAAAAAAAAAAAAAAAAAAAAAAAAAAAAACCAGGCUGAGAUUGAAUUUCCUGCGUCCAACUUUGGAGACUAGAAGAUGGUAGGAUAAUGUCAAAGGGCUAGUGAGAGAAUUACACCCUGUGAAUCCUGUACUAGGCUAGGCUAUCAGUCACUUUCAAAGAGAGAGAUAUUUAUAGAUAUUUGGGGAGUCAGAGAUUAGGGAUGUCUUGAGAAAAUAUGCUAACCAACAAAAGGGUUUCAGCAGUGACUAGGAUAUGGGGAGAUAAAAAAUAGGAGAAAUAGUGGUUAGCAAUGAACUUGGCAGUAUACACAUGGUCCAGUCUCACUGGAUAAAGGAGGACUAAAGGAAAAUGCUUACGGUAGGUUCUAAAGAAAUAUUUUUUUUUCUUGACCUUCCAACUUGAAAAUUUUCAAAAUAAAAAUUCGACUUUUACCUAGAGUCAUCAAUUUCUCUUGCAGUGUAUCUCUUCUAAUUCAGGAAUAGUGGUUAUUUAGAAAUGGCUGACUCUAGGGCAGGAAAAAUAGAAGGUGAGCUUGCAUUGUUUUAACAUGAAAGAAAGCAAGGAAAUGCGCUAAGAUGAAUAGAGACAUUUCAAAAGGGCAGAGAGUGUAGUGUGUAAAGGAGAUUAAUUGGAAAAAACACUUAUAAGGUGGGUGAACAAAGCAGGAUUGGAAGAGGGAGAAGUUGAACUCUGAUUCAGUUAAUUUUCCUUGUUGUGACUUCUGGACCUGACAUGUGUCUUCAGAGUUGUCCUGAAUUGAGGCAAGCAGGCUGGCCCUUGUUCCCCUCAUGGUUUAGUCAUUUGAUUUGGACUUUCCCUGGAAAGGGGGCAGGCAUAUCCUUGGGAGAGGAAGCUCUCUUUAAUUGAGGGCACUUUCUGGAGAGAUGCCAGUUGUGAGCUGCCUUGUACAGCUUUCUUUCACCUGAGAAUGAAUGCCUUGGUCCUGAAUAAAGUCCCGAGCAGUGCAUUCCAACAAUCCUUACUAUCCUCCAUUUGCUUCAUUUAAUAAGUUCACGCCAUCUGGCGAUAGCUCCUCUAGGAUUAUGGUUGGUCUCUUUCUAGAAAUAUAAGAGGAAGGUAAGGAGGACUUACCUCAGUCUUUUUCACUACAGCUUGAGGUCAAAACUAAUAUUCAUUAUAUUCCUCUGCUACCAGUUCUAGAUUUCCUCUUACCCGUGGCUGACACCUCUGCUGGUCUGGGCAGAUUACUUGAGGUCAUUGAGUCCUUCAUACCUGGGAGGUUCUGAGGCCCAGUUCCCUUGCUCACCAUAAUCUCUGAGCUAUGGCUCUUGCAUUUGUCUGUUUGUUGUCAGAACUGGGCAAAGGAGUAUGAAGAGAUAGAUACCUUUCAUAUAUGCCCUUAACAUGGCAAACAUGUUUGUCAUGUGAGUGAUAAAAAAUAUUCUUCCCUGCACUUGUGUGACAGAAGCCCUAUGUUUUCCUGAUGACCAAGGUCAAUUAAUCCUGCCAGAUUGGUGACUCCUUUCCCUCCCCUCUGGUUUCUUGGCCCAGAGUACUUGAAAUGACCAGGUAGCAGUUGUAACUAAAAGUUUAAUGGGCUGUGUUACUUGGUGAGAAUAAGACCUCUAGAUUCAUAGAACCUAGCAUUGCAGGGAAGGGAAAUAAUAAAUUUCUAAAUGGGUCAUUGGUAAGGAUGGCAAUUGAGGCCAUUUCUGCUCUCUCCCCUUUGUUUCCUGCCUGUAUGUAUGUUACUUAUUACAGAUGCAUUAUCGUAAUGGUUAUGAUUUAGGGUAUAACUGCAUCCUGGAGGGUGUCCUAUCUUAAUAUGGUAUCAUCUCCAAGGGGGUACCUUAACUAUGCCUUCAGAAUGCUCUUCCAUUGCUCUCAGACUGGCAGCCUCUGAAUGUUGUGGUAUGUGAUAGGACCAGUGGACUCAAUGGUCUGUGCUCAUAGCUCCUUUGCUAUAAAGAGGAGUCUUUGGUCUCUUAAUGUUAUGUAAGAUAUAAAGUGAACCAGAAACAUUGUUAGGUCUCAGAUAGGUACUGGUUAUUGCCUUGUGGUGAGGAAAGGCAAAUCCAUGCCUGUAAUAUGUGUUGAUUCUAGUCAGCGUGAAUCACUGUCCCUUUGAAAGUGGAAAGGGUCCAGUGUAACAAGUUUACACUGUCUGGUUGAUCUCUUGAGCGAAUAUGCCAUAUUUGGGGCUUGGCCUUGGUCUCUGUUACUGGGAGAUUGGAUAAUCUGUUGUAGCAGUUGGCUAAGUCAACUUUGGUGAGAGGGAGCCCAUACUCUUGGGCCCAUAUAUAGCCUCUGUUCUGCCACCAUGGCUACCUUGUUCAUUAUGCCAGCACUAAAGUGGUCAAUGGCAGAAGUUGGAUGAUGUCAGCUGGUUAGUAUUCUGUAUACAUGGUUGUUUUUUGCCUCUUUCAUGAGAUUUUCUCUGAUGGAUAUUAACAUAUGAUACAGGGAUCCUCCUACUUUUGUCCACUUCCACAGAGCUAUGCUCAUGACCUGUUGCCAGGAAAACCAGUGAAGAGACUUUGUAAUCUUUUAGGUGAAAUGAAAGAGGCCCUGAGCCAGCAGAGUGGCAGUGAGAAUAUAAAUAAAUAUAUCUGAGCAGUUUCUCAGGUUUGGCUUGUGACAUUUGGGAGACUCCAAAGUUUUCAAUCUGAUUGAUUGGGAAAAUCAGCAGUUCAUUUUGAGGCAAGGGAUUUAGGAAAAAGUUGGUCUGUAUAUGGGACAGAUACAUUUUGUUUUAGAAACCCUGAUGUGGAACUCAAGAAGGAGGUUAGAAUUAGAGAAAAACACAGAGCCAUGUCACAACCCAGAAUUGCAGGGGAAAUUUUAUUUGCUAUCACUACUCUAAUUCACCUUCUAGAAUCCUCAAUUUGCUGGUUAUUGUGGGAUUGGGAAUGCAAGGGAAAAAACAAAUACCAGCAGCAGAAAAUACAAGGAAAUUGGUCAAUCAGGUUUAAAACUUAAGCUCAUAUAAGAAUUUAAACAUUUCUUUUCAGUCAGUAGUGUUUAGUGUCUUAGUAUUAACUGAUGAGAGUCUCAGCUUCUCUAAGAUGGCAUCUGAGUUUGUGGUGGAGGGCCGGCUUCUGUGAUUUUAUGGCUUGAAAAAGGCAGGGCUCUCAGAUUCCCAUAUUGUCUCAAGGUUCCUCUGGUCACUCUGGUGAUGUCCUUUGUUGGUGGUUACUCUCCCUGCCAGCGUUUGGACUCCUCUCCUGCAAUUUUGUCAGAAACUAGUGAUGUUUCCUGACUGACAAGGCCUCUGCUGUUAGAGACCCCUCUGAAAUCUGGCUGUGAGUUGGAGUCAUUUCAGCUCAGGUUGGCCCACUAUGAGCCAUGAUCCUUAGCUGGCAAUCUCCCUAGCUAGAUACUCUGGGACUAACCUGUGCCAACUUGGGAAGGCUAAGCUCAGAUCCUUUAUCUGACAAGGCUCAAUUACAAAUUUUUUGCCACUGUAUUUUGAUAACUUUCUCAUUUAUUUACCUUUUAAUUAGUUUAGUAUUGGUCAUUGCCCACCCUUCCCCUCUAAUAUACAUGUACACUAGAAUAUCAACUCAUGAUAAUGGUAUCUUGUCAGUCCUGUUGAUCGCUGAAUCACAAGCUACAGGGAAAGCACCUGUCACAUGGUUGGCCCUUAAUAGAGUUUUUGUAAGUCAAUAAAGGGCAGAAAUAAUAGAAGAAAUCCUCAAAGAGAAGUAUGUCAAGUACGAACAAGAUGAAGAUUAAACUGUUGAGUACAUCUUCUACCUUCUAUUUUAGAGGUAGACAUUAUAAGAGGUUCCAGGGAAGGAGACUGAGAAGAACUGAUCAAAAGAAGUGUGAAGAUGAAGUGCAGGAGAUUGGGAGAAGCAUGUAUGUUUAUAAGUAGUAUAAAGAGAUGAGUCUGAGAAAACUCAGAUCUCAGGGAAUUAUGCCAUGAAAGGGAAAAUAGAAUUGUGGCACUAGGUAAAAUCUUUUAUGAAGGUUGAUGGUAAAGGUAAGGAGUUAGGGCAUAUCACUGGGCUCUUCAGGAACAGGACUCAUGAAGGACUCUUUUCUUCCCAAGACAGAAGAAAGUUGGUGCUUUGAUAUGUGGGGAGGAACUGGUGGAGGGAAAGAGGGGGAAGACUGAAAACAGAGAUGGUUUAUGAAUUAAGGUCUCAGAACUUAACUGGGAAAGGAUGAGAUCAACCUUAGAAUGGAAGACAGGAAGAAUGAAUGGAAAAUAGACGAUCUGAGGCAAAUGGGAAGUACAUAUUUUGCUUAGUAAAAUAGGUGUCCCGGUUAUCUGCCAAGAGUGUAUGUACACAAGUCCUCCACCUCCCACACUUCUUUUCUACUUUCUUUGACCUUUUCUUGGCAAAAGAUAAGCAACCAUGCUUCUUGGAAGAACAAGAGCUCUUUAGUUCUUGUUCAGACUUGGAUAAGAGACUUAGUUGCACAGAAUUGCAACUGGAGUUGCACAGAAUUGAUAUGAGGGUCUCAAUAGAUCUCAGACUCAACUCUGUUUAUGAUCCCGAGUUAUGUAACUAAUAUGAGUAAUUCAAAUAAUGCAAGUUUCGGAUUCUUUUCUACCUUAGACAUUCUGACUCAUUAUCAAAUAAAUAAAAUUUAUUUACUCUGAAUGUUUCCUUUUAGUUGGUCUUCUUAACUGAUGUGAGAGUCCAUCAAUACCUUGUUUUAGUUAUCCUAUGAAAAUGAAGAGUUUAUGGAUUAUAUGCUGAUGGGAAAAUUACCUGCUGAAGUAAAUAACUUCAUACUUGUUUUUUAUUCUACUGAUUUCAUGUAUAUGAAUUAAAAAAAUUUUUUUGGACAUUGUAAAAGCACAUAUGAAGUACAUAAUGUGCAUAUCUGGUGUUAAAAUACUUUUUAAAAUUACUUGAAUUAAUAAAGUUUAUAUGGAGUGAUAUUUGCUUUGCCCAUGUUUUUUUGACUGUUGUUCAUCUAUUCAUUUACCAUUUCCUUACUGGCUAAAUGCGUAGGUUCUGUUCUAGGUGGUGAGAAUAUAAAUGCACGAAAGAUUCAGUCCCUGAAUUUGAAGGAGUUUAUGGUCUGGUUAUAGAAGACAUACUGUAAUAACAUAAACACAAUAAUAUAUUGUAUGUGCUAAGAAAGAAAUAUGUACAGGAUGGAGUAGGGCCCAAAGGAGUGAGUGGUCAGUUUCUGCCUCAGAAGAAUGGGAACCUGUUGUCAAGAAAGGUUUUACUGAUGAAAUGUGCCUGAAUCUUGAAAGGUAAGAGUAUUUUUGUUAAGUUUGCCUUUAGAUGAUGUGAAGUCUUUGAGGACAAAGAAUCUCAUACACGUUUGUGUUCUGGACCAAAGGAAGAAUUUGCCAGUAAAUGAAUUGUUUCCAAACAGUUCCAAAUUUACUAUUAUAAAGGUAUUUCUUUAAAAUACCAGUAGGUGGCAGUAUUACUCCAUAUAAAAAGACUGAUGACCAAACAGUGGAAGUGAUUUUCCUGAAUUUCCAAACCUGGUAAUGAGGGUGUUCUGGGUUAAAAAUGGAUGAGAAAAAGUGAGUUUGAAAAUUUUUCUUGGCAGACCAGUUUUUCCUUGAAUAAACCAAUGUCUGAACCCCUUCACACCCUCUUUCCACUCACCCUGAACUCCAGAGAUCUGCAUAAAAUUGACUUGGACACUUCUCAUUCAAGGCCUGUGGAAGUCUGAAGCCCUUUUAAAGAUUUCUACAAUACCUUGACCCAGAAACAAAACUGAGCUCCCUGCUUGAUGUACACUAAAAGCCCAUUCACAUGAAAUAUUCGUAAGUUUAAGAUCUUUUAGUGAAGAUUUGGGGAAAGGAUAACAGCAGAGUUUUACACAGCAGCAGUACAGACAAGUGCAAAUGAAUCAGGCAGCUUCCCAGGUCACAGAAUGUUCUUUGGCCUCCCACCAUCAUGGAGUUUGACCUAAUUCUUUUGUUUCAGCCUUAUCUGGUUGGCUCCUCUUUUUGCCUUCUUGAUCCUGGAGCUUCAAAUUCUUCCCCUUCUCUCCCUCUCCUCCUUCCACUUCCCCUGUCUCCUCUCCUGGCUUCCUCCUGACCCUCUCUCCUUUCCUCUUCCUUGGUCUUCCACUGACAAACCCACCAAGGUGCUCUGCAGUAGAGGGCCUUUUACUCUUUGUGAUCCCCCCACUUCCUUGAAGGCAGUAAUUGUAUUUUUAUUUUUUGUCUUUUUAGGGCUGCACCAGUGGCAUAUGGAGGUUCCCAGGCUAGGGGUCGAAUUGGAGCUGUAGCCGUCAGCCUACGCCAGAGCCAUAGCAACAUGGGAUCUGAGAUGUGUCUGCAACCUACACCACAGCUCAAAGCAACACUGGAUCCUUAACCCACUGAGUGAGGCCAGGGAUCGAACCCACAUCCUCAUGGAUGCAAGUUGGGUUCGUUAGCCACUGAGCCAUGACAGGAACUCCCUGAUCAUGGUUUUUAGCUGGUGGUUGCAGGUUUUUCUUUCGCAGGGUGAUGUUAAGUGAUGUGAGCUCGAUAGGGUUCUCUGCUUCUCUCUCCAUCUUCCAUGUGCCUAGAAAAUAGACCCCGGUUUCUUUCAUGAUCUAUCAUAAUUUUAUUAUUUUUGGUUUUUUUUUUGAAGUUCUUUAUUUAUGCAAAUCAGUAUGGUCCCAGGAUUAGGGUGGAAAUUGUGAUUGGUCUGCUAUAGGGAACCAUUCUACCCCCUAUGAAAAUGUUCAAUAUAAAGAAUAUUUGAAAGAGGAGUUCCCGUCGUGGUGCAGUGGAAACGAAUUCGACUGGGAACCAUGAGGUUGCUGGUUCAAUCCCUGCCCUUGCUCAGUGGGUUAAGGGUCUGGCAUUGCUAUGAGCUGUGGUGUAGGUCACAGACACAGCUGGGAUAUGGUGUUGCUGUGGCUCUGGUGUAGGCCAGCAGCCGAGGCUCUGAUUCGACUCCUAGCCUGGGAACUUCCAUGUGCCAUGGGUUUGGUCCCCCCCCCAAAAGGACAUUUGAAAGAAUCGUUGAAUCUAUCACCUAGAGUCUAUGAUUGUUAACAUUUGGUUUUAUUUGCCUUUCAUUAAUCUAAUUUUUUGUUGUAUUUCAAACUAAGUUGCAGGCAAAAGUACAUUUCACUCCUAGACAUUUUAGCAUGCAUAUAAUUAACUAGAGAGUAGUUUUUACUUUCAGUUCUUUUUUUGUUUUUGAGGUAAAAUUUAUGUAAUAGUGGUAUUCAGUUAUUAAGUAUACUUUAGAUAAGUCUUGACUAAUGCAAAAACCAGGGUUAUCUAAACUCCUAUCAAGACAAGAGAAAAUUUCCAUAAAGCUUUCGUUUGUACUGAUAUUUACUUUACCAUUAAAAUUUUUUCUCAAUGGAGACCAUUCCUUCUCCCAUUCUCCCAUGCAGCUUACAGGGCACAGAGGAAGUAUCUGCAUGUUUCUUAUUCCCCGCUGUCUCUAAUCAGGUAUUGACCCAGUAUCAAUUCUUGGCAACUGAACUGGGAACUCUGUACCAAUCACUUAUACUAUCCUAUUUCCACCACUAACUAUCAUCUGGCAAGACAGUCUCCUCUGUUUUCUACUACCAUGAUGAUUCAGAGUCUUCUGCUCCAUCCUCAGGCACAGAAUUGCUCAGCCAUUACAAUUCUGAACUGAAAAAUUAAUGAAUUAAGUCAUUCUUGGCUGCAUUGGUGGCGUUUGGAAAUUUCUAUGCCAGGGAUCAAAUACGAGGUGCAGCUGUGACCUACACUGCAUCUGUGCAAGGCUGGAUCCUUCAAACCCUCUGCACUAAGCUGGGGAUUGAACCUGCACUACUGCAGAGACAAUGCUGGAUCCUUAACUCACUGCACCAUAGAGGGAACUCUC